rnacentral:lncRNA from 1 species
AUGAUACUUUCCAAAAGCUCGGAUCGCUCCCCUACCCCCCCCCGCCCCACCACCACCACCAAAAUAAAAACAAAAAGCCAGCCUCGGAGGCGGGCAGCGCCGGCCGGGCCGGCGGCGGGCGGACGGGGUGAGCCCUGCGCCCCGAGGCCGCCCCCGAGGAGGCGGCUGUUUGGCUUGGCCCGCGGCGGCGCUGGGCGGGGAGGUGUGCGCGGCCGCGGGCGGGACCCGGGCGCAGCUCCCUCUCCGGGGCAUUAUUCUGGAGCGACAGAAAUGAAGCCGCAGCCCGGGCAACUUUACUUGCUGCUCCCCGAACUACCAUUCGGCACUCUCUUUCCCUUGCCCUGGGGCCACCUCGGGAAGGGAAAAGAAAAAAAAAAAAAAAAAAAAAAACCACCACCCACCCACCACUAUUUCCUCCGCCCCUUCCAGAGGCGGGUCGGUGAUCUCGAUCUCCCGGGAAGGGCGGCCCAAAUAUGCACUUCUCUAAAGGUGUCGGGAGACCCGGGGGAAACCCCCAAACCGAGGGGCUUACCCUUCGCAGCCCGCCCGGCCCGGCUCCCGAGGCGCGGCGGCGAGCAGAGCGGGGACGCGGGCGGGCGCCGGGCCCGGCCGGGACGCGCUAGGCCGCAGGCUCGGUUAAUAUUCAUGAGCGGACGGGAGGCGCCCCUCCUCCACGGCCGGCCGGCCGGACCUCGGCGCCCGCCGCCGGCCUUUGUGCCCUUCCCUCCUUCCCCCGGCCCUCCCUCGCUCCGCACACGCGGGCGCGGCCCCUCCGCCCCCGCCCCCGCCGGGCGUCCGCCGCGGGCUCCCUCCGGCCCCGCGCCAGCGCCGGGCGGGGUGGCCUGGGGUGGCGGGAAGGGAGGGAGCCCGCGGCGCGCCGGGCUCUCCACCCGCCCGCGGGCGCUGCGCCCUCUCGGCCGAGGCGGAAAGCAAAGCAGACACGCACCGGAGGAAGCGGGGCGAGUGGAUCCGCUCGGGGCUGGCGGGCCCCCGGCGGCGCGCCCCGCACGCCCGGCGCGAGGACGAUCCGCCGCUGCCCGCCGCCGCGCUCCGAGGCCGCCGCCCCCGGCCGGCCGCUCCCAGGCACCGCCGCGACCCGCCCCGGCCGGGCCCGGGCUCUCGGCCGCCGCGGGAGGGCGUGGGGCGGGGCGGCGGCCGCCGGACUCUCCCCUCGCCUCGCCGGGCCGGGCCGGGGCCGCGCUCGGGCGCCCGCGAUCGCCAAGUGACAGAAGCGCCUCGCUCCGCCGCCGCGCCGAGCUGUUUCCCGGGGGCGGAUUUCUCGCUUCUUCCUCCCUGGAUCCACCUCCUCCCACUCCACCUCCUUCCCCUCCCCUCCCCAGGGGAGGCUCUGGGGCUGAAUAUUUUCUGUCUUGA